rnacentral:rRNA from 1 species
ACGCUAGCUACAGGCUUAACACAUGCAAGUCGAGGGGCAGCAUGGUCUUAGCUUGCUAAGGCCGAUGGCGACCGGCGCACGGGUGAGUAACACGUAUCCAACCUGCCGUCUACUCUUGGACAGCCUUCUGAAAGGAAGAUUAAUACAAGAUGGCAUCAUGAGUCCGCAUGUUCACAUGAUUAAAGGUAUUCCGGUAGACGAUGGGGAUGCGUUCCAUUAGAUAGUAGGCGGGGUAACGGCCCACCUAGUCUUCGAUGGAUAGGGGUUCUGAGAGGAAGGUCCCCCACAUUGGAACUGAGACACGGUCCAAACUCCUACGGGAGGCAGCAGUGAGGAAUAUUGGUCAAUGGGCGAGAGCCUGAACCAGCCAAGUAGCGUGAAGGAUGACUGCCCUAUGGGUUGUAAACUUCUUUUAUAAAGGAAUAAAGUCGGGUAUGCAUACCCGUUUGCAUGUACUUUAUGAAUAAGGAUCGGCUAACUCCGUGCCAGCAGCCGCGGUAAUACGGAGGAUCCGAGCGUUAUCCGGAUUUAUUGGGUUUAAAGGGAGCGUAGAUGGAUGUUUAAGUCAGUUGUGAAAGUUUGCGGCUCAACCGUAAAAUUGCAGUUGAUACUGGAUAUCUUGAGUGCAGUUGAGGCAGGCGGAAUUCGUGGUGUAGCGGUGAAAUGCUUAGAUAUCACGAAGAACUCCGAUUGCGAAGGCAGCCUGCUAAGCUGCAACAGACAUUGAGGCUCGAAAGUGUGGGUAUCAAACAGGAUUAGAUACCCUGGUAGUCCACACGGUAAACGAUGAAUACUCGCUGUUUGCGAUAUACAGCAAGCGGCCAAGCGAAAGCGUUAAGUAUUCCACCCGGGGAGUACGCCGGCAACGGUGAAACUCAAAGGAAUUGACGGGGGCCCGCACAAGCGGAGGAACAUGUGGUUUAAUUCGAUGAUACGCGAGGAACCUUACCCGGGCUUAAAUUGCAGAUGAAUUACGGUGAAAGCCGUAAGCCGCAAGGCAUCUGUGAAGGUGCUGCAUGGUUGUCGUCAGCUCGUGCCGUGAGGUGUCGGCUUAAGUGCCAUAACGAGCGCAACCCUUGUUGUCAGUUACUAACAGGUUCCGCUGAGGACUCUGACAAGACUGCCAUCGUAAGAUGUGAGGAAGGUGGGGAUGACGUCAAAUCAGCACGGCCCUUACGUCCGGGGCUACACACGUGUUACAAUGGGGGGUACAGAGGGCCGCUACCACGCGAGUGGAUGCCAAUCCCAAAAACCUCUCUCAGUUCGGACUGGAGUCUGCAACCCGACUCCACGAAGCUGGAUUCGCUAGUAAUCGCGCAUCAGCCACGGCGCGGUGAAUACGUUCCCGGGCCUUGUACACACCGCCCGUCAAGCCAUGGGAGCCGGGGGUACCUGAAGUGCGUAACCGAGAGGAGCGCCCUAGGGUAAAACUGGUGACUG